rnacentral:lncRNA from 1 species
UAUUAUUUGAGCCCUAUGGAUAUAUAUAUAUAUAUAGUCUGGCUACCAUGCUAUCGGUAGCACGGAGCGCUCCGUGCUACCAAGUUGUUUUCGAUGAUGCGGCUUCCAAAUCGAUGAUCAGCUCCGUUAGACUUGAUCUACACUAUUGAAAGUAUUUGGAAACUAAAUUUCAGUUUUUUUCAACAUCAUUUGACUAGUGAUCAAAAGAUCUCAAAAUUGACAAUUUUAAUGGCCGAUGUGGUGUGUUUGUGAGUUUAACGGUGUAAAACAAUUCAAAUGCGAUGAAAAUUUUAUAGAAAAUUCUUUUCACUAUUUAGAGUAAGAUCAGUAUAUCUGAUCUUGAAUUUAAAUCUUUUAUCAUCAUUUUUCAUGAGAUUUUUAUUUUCAGCGUUUAAUUUUAGACUACUUGUUUGAUAAGUAAAAAUAUAUCGAAAAAUUAUGAAAUAGUUUCUAAAUACUUCAAUAGUGUAGAUCAAGUCUAACGAGCGCGAUCGUCGAUUUGGAAGCCGCAUCAUCGAAAACAACUUGGUAACAUGGAGCGCCGAUAGUAUAGUAGCCUAGUUCUAUAAUAUAUAUAUAUAUAUAUAUAAAAGAAGAGAGAGAGAGAGAGAGAGAGAGAGAGAGAGAGAGAGAGAGAGAGAGAGAGAGAGAGAGAGAGAGAGAGAGAGAGAGAGAGAGAAUG